AACGGGGCCGUGGAAACGAAUAGCGGUGACGUUACAUCAUGAAGUGUGCUGUGUUGUCACCAGCUGUUGUCUGAAGACGAAGAAAAAGUGGAUGUGUCGAUUGAUUGUAAGCCGACACGAGCCGACCGGCAGCGCUUAGAAGCACGUCUGGAGCCGAGAGAUGGUACCGGAUGACUGAUGGAAAAACCGGAGCCUCGCCAGUCGCCCGGUGGUAGUACACGUUACAUAACUGAAGGCAUCGAUAAGACAAAAACUGUGAUAACGGACUAAUACAGGUCGGAGUUGAAGCCAUUUUUCUCUGCCCAGACAGUCCGUCACGCCAGCCGACGUUCAUAGUAAGACCGUUUCCACGUUGUGCUUUGAAGAAGACCGCCGUCAUGAACGUGGGCACGGCGCACAGCGAGGUGAACCCCAACACCCGAGUGAUGAACAGCAGAGGGAUGUGGCUGUCUUACAUCCUGGGCAUCGGCCUCCUGCACGUCAUCCUGCUCAGCAUUCCCUUCGCCAGCGUGCCCGUGGUCUGGACCCUCACCAACCUCAUUCACAAUCUGUGCAUGUACCUCCUACUUCACACGGUCAAAGGGACUCCCUUCGAGACCCCAGAUCAGGGCAAGGCUCGUCUGCUUACACACUGGGAGCAAAUGGACUAUGGUGUGCAGUUCACUGCUUCACGCAAGUUCCUCACCAUCACACCCAUUGUUCUGUAUAUACUAACCAGCUUCUACACCAAAUACGAUCGGGUCCAUUUUGUGGUCAACACCGUUUCCCUGCUCACUGUACUCAUCCCCAAGCUGCCCCAGCUGCACGGCGUGAGGAUCUUUGGGAUUAAUAAGUACUGACAAGGCGGAAGAGGACACCUCCUUCCUUUAGAAGUCCCCGUAGACUGCUGAGAGCAGUAUCAGGCCUCUGAUUUGGCUACAGAUCCACAAAGAUCCGCGGCUCUCUGGCUCUAGUCUCUGCUGAGCAGCACUCUAAAUGAGGCCUGCUGGGGAUACUGCCAUGGUACCAAACCCCAGGUUUACAGAGCACACAAAGGGAAAGUGUGCUGUUUUGAAUGUUUGUGGCCUAUCUCCUUUGAGACACUUAAAAGCUUAAAAGGGAGUAUUAUGAUGAUGUCCAUUUCUGCAGGAAUGACAAUUGUGUGAUAUGACAGGUGUCAGGGGAAGAGGACAAUGUGUUGGCACAAAUUACAUGUGCCGUUUUACACCCACUGGCACACUGAGGCCGUCGUCGAAAGUUAUUUUGUAUGUAAUGAUACACUGCUGUAUUUAGUCAGCUGCUUCCUCUUUCUCAAGGUUCCUGGGCAGAGAGAAGAGUAACAAUACUUUAAUAAUAUGGUAAGGGAACUGCUGCAGAGGCGAGACAGGACAAACCACAAGGUUUUAUAUUUAGCCCUCGCUGUUCCGCUCAGGGCCAAGAUUGGGAAGUUAAGCAACUCUUAUUUUUAUCUGACCAUUUCCAUGUUUGGACUCGUCUUGUCCUGGUUUGUGUCACAGAAAGCCUCCUGUCUGCAGAGUCGUCAGGCCUGUGAGCACUCUACUGAUUCAACAUACUAUACAUGUAAGUCCUGCAAUAUGAGUUAAGAGAUAAGUAUUUCUAUUAAUAGUUACAUUCUGGGGACUCAUGCCUGGCACUAGAAGUACUUAGGAAUUAGCAUAAGCCUUAGUUUAGAGCCACAUUACACAUUACACACUGAGUUAUUAGUUUAUUAGGUAAGCUUGUGCAGUCUAAUGCAAUCCAAUAUAGUAGCCUUGCAGUAACUCCUGAAAUACUCAAAGUUGUUUUUAAGGUUCCCCCAAUUCCCACUCCCCAAUCACUUAUGAAAGGGGCAGAAUAUUAGAAACAUUAGCUCGAAAUCCUGAUCUUUCAAGAACAUCAAGUUCUCUCUCUUCAGCCUGUCAAAAUCCUUUUUUAGCAUCCAAGGAAAUGACAGUUAUUCUGUAGUAUGUAAGUGCUAAAGGGAUUCUGGGUUAUGUUACAAAGCUGCUUCGUAUUCGAGCAAAUAUGUUACUGUUCAUUACAGAUGUUUAGGGAACUUUUUUGUUUUACAUAUUGCCAGUCUAAUGCAUGUGUAUGAUCUUUUUUUUUUAAGCAGUGGAAGGCAGACAUGUCCAUGAUCCAUUUCACCAUGGCAGUUGAUGUGAAGUACUGUUAGCAAACAUCAAAUCUAAAAUGUAAUCCAUGGGCUUUACUUCAACAUUGCAAGCUGAUACAGGUACCAUACAAAGGGCGCUCUGUUACGCAACACCGGAGGAUUGUUAAACAUCGAUUAAGUGAAAGUAAUAAUGAGGUAUUAGAGUUAAUUUAACAGGAUAUCAUGUUGGAUUAGUGUUCUGAAACACAAAGAUCUGGCACCCUGAUGUAAAAAAAUAAUAUUUGUGUAGAAUUGUGUUGAAGAUCGAGGUGUAACAUUAUUUUUUCAGUUUUGUAUGCAAUUCUGUUUUCAUGAGUCAAGACUUUUACAGGUUGGUCUAAUUGAUUUUUGAAAUGUUCCUAGUGAAAAAGGUUAAAAUCAUCAUUUCAUGUAUACAAACCAGACCGGUAAAUAGAAUCAGAUGGAAGUACAGGAAUAAGUUAAACGGUAUACCAUGUUAUUAAAUACAAAUAGCCAAAAUGUCCUUCCGUCUGUCUGUCGCUGACAUCGCAGUUUUCCUACAUCACAUGCUGAAAUACACUGCUGAAAUACACUUAAAUAUGUUUUUCUUUAAAGAUUAUGUUAUUACCAGCCUUGUUUAGCCAUAAAUGAUACAUUUAUCAGUAUUACAAGUGCAAGUAUAUGUACUACGGUGGUGCACAACUCUUCUUAAAGCCACCUUGCUUCCUGUUUAUGUUAAGAUAGCAGAUGCUUUGUCUAGGAGAAAUUCUUUUUGCGAAGUCGUUGCUAAUCUGCUGCUAAAUCUGCUGCGGUCUCAUCUGAGUUGCACUCACUCCUGAUGUAUAUCUCAACCCUGCGGUCUGUGGUGCAGACACCUUGUGAUUAACACAGUGUCUGAGAACUUUUGCAAGGGAUAUAUAGUUGAUACAACAUAGGCAAGUCAUACAAAACAACCCAUGCAGCGCUUCCUGUCCCGUAUAGCUGAGGACAGGCACAGAGAAUCGCUGGGACAGCCACCCCGACUCCUCCGGUCUGAACCUGGCGUAGGCCAUGGCUCAAUCUCCAAUGUUUGUCAUCUAGACGCGCACUGCUCUUUUACCGGUCAACCUGCGCUAGAUGCUAGAAUGUAGUCACCGAACAAGUCUCAACCAAGCAACGAGCAAUGUGGGUGCGGCCAGGCCAAAUCCAGAAUUCCAGAAAGGUUAGAUGUGCUUCCAGCCCUUUUCAGACCAUGUUAGACAAAAAUCAUGAUCAUAACGGAGCAGUUUACAUACUUUAAAAUGUGUCUGGAGUGGGACUUUAAGUUGUCAUGCCACUGCCCAAUGUGAUAGUUUCUCUUCUUUUUGGUGUUAGCCUACUCCUGUUCUAGUUUGAUCUGAUUAAAGACAUGUUGAAAGAUGAACCAGUGAAAGGAACUGGGGAUGAGGAUGGGUGGAGGAAUGUUUUUGUUUUGGUUUAAUCUGCUCAACUCAUUAAAUGUAACGUCAUGGUGUGUGGGAAUGCUAUGUGUGUGCAUGAGAGAGAAUCUUAGUAUUUUUCUUUAAUACUUUACCUUAUGAAAUAAACAUGCUUGAGUCUUGUA